rnacentral:rRNA from 1 species
UACGGGGGGGGGCAAGCGUUGUUCGGAAUUCCUGGGCGUAAAGGGCUCGUAGGUGGCCAACUAAGUCAGACGUGAAAUCCCUCGGCUUAACCGGGGAACUGCGUCUGAUACUGGACGGCUUGAGUUUGGGAGAGGGACGCGGAAUUCCAGGUGUAGCGGUGAAAUGCGUAGAUAUCUGGAGGAACACCGGUGGCGAAAGCGGCGCGCUGGACCUCUUCUGACGCUGAGGCGCGAAAGCCAGGGGAGCGAACGGG